rfam:Homo sapiens chromosome 5, GRCh38 reference primary assembly.
AUUCUCUGUGGCACGCACUUUAACUACAAUGUAAGUAUUGACCAUCAGCACUAAUACAUUAAUACUUUUAUGUACUUUGUGCAUGACUGCUAGUCCCCAUGGAUAAUAUAUA